GUAGUAAGAAAAAGUAAAAACAUGCAUAGUAUGAAUAGUUAACUAGUAAUUACUAACUACUGUUUGUACUUUUGUAGAAAAUAUAACUAUAAAAAAAUUGUACCUACUACCUAGGUACUAUGAAUUAUGUAAUAUAAUUUGUAAUAUUAUUUUAUUUAAUAUAAUAAUUGUCUUAGAUCUACUAUUCAUCGUGUUUUAUUCGUCAGUGUACUAAUGUUUGUUUACUCGAUUUUAAUCGUCGUGCUAUUAACUGUGUUUUAUGUAUAAUCGGUGCGUUGAAUUUUAACAAAAUGAGCAAACGAAAGCAAUUCACGAUUGAAGAAAAAACAAAUAUUAUUUUACGUUUAAAAAAAGGUGAAAAAAAUGGUGACAUAGCUAAUGAAUUAGGCGUUGGUCAUUCUACAAUUUCUAACAUAUGGAAAGCUCGAGAAAAAAUUGAACAGGAGUUUCAAAACGAAAAAUUAUCAGUUAAAAAACUUCGAAGUUGUACGCACACAGAUUUAGACAGCGUUUUACUACGGUGGUUUAAAGAUCAAAGAAAUUUAUGCAUUCCAAUUAAUGGACCGAUUCUUCAACAGAAAGCCAAUGAAUUAGCUGAAGGUCUUGGUAAGCAGAAUUUUAAUUGUUCAACUGGUUGGAUUCAAAGAUUUAGAUCAAGACAUAAUAGUGUUAUGUUAUCGAAAAUAAGUAGAAAAUCAAGUUCUGUUAACACUGAAAUAACACAAGAUUGGUUUGAAAAAGUAUGGCCAAAAUUACGAGAAGGAUACACAGAUGACCAAAUUUAUAAUGCCAAUGAGACUGGGCUUUUUUUCAAAAUGCUUCCUGAUAGAACAUCCAAAUUUAAAGGAGAUAAAUGCUCAGAUGGUAAAAUGUCUGAAGAACGACUUACUAUUUUAGUUUCAGCAAGUAUGACUGGUAAAAAAAUGAAACUAAUUGUAAUUGGAAAAUCCCGUGAACCGCGGUGUUUCAAAAAUAUCAAAAAUAUUGACUGUCUACCGGUAACAUACGAAUCAAAUUCCAAAGCUUGGAUGACUGCAGAAUUGUGGUCUAAAAUUGUAUUAAAUUGGGAUUUAGAAUUGGAAAGAAAAAAAGAAAAUAUCUUACUCUUAGUUGACAACUGCCCGGCGCAUACUAAUGUUGAAUUGCGCAAUAUCAAACUUGUAUUUUUACCCAGUAAUUGUACAUCUGUUCUUCAACCAAUGGAUCAAGGCAUAAUAAAAUGUAUGAAAACUUAUUUUCGAAGAAAUUUAAUGUUAAAAAUGAUCAAUAACAUAGAAAAUAAAAUUGAUACCAAUAUCAGCGUAUUAGAUGGCAUAUUAAUGAUUUUUCAAGCUUGGGAAAAAGUAUCAGAGAUUACAAUUCAAAACUGUUUUCGACACGCUGGUUUCAAAAAUGCUAUUCAACAUCAAGUGGUCCAAGAAGAACAACUAGAAGAAAUAAAUUUUCCAAUGAUUUGCCAAUUUGAUGAUUAUGUUAACUUUGAUAAUGAUGUGUUAAUUUCAGAGCCAUUAAGUGAAGAAAUUAUUUCCUCAAUGAAUAACCAACCCAAAGAACAAGAAGAGAAAGACGACAAUAGUGAAGAAGAUGAUACUCCCAAUGAAGAUUUAUCAAUCAGUUCAGUGUUCAAUGCAGUAAAAAUUGUAUCAAAUUAUAUGGCUCUGAAUAAUGUAAGUUUAAAAACAAAUUUCCAAGAAAUUGAAAAAAAAAUAUUGUUAGAUUUUUAUACAAAUAAAGUACAAACUAAGAUAACAGAUUUUUUUAAUACAAUUUAAAUUUAAUUUUAAAAUAAAAAAACUUUUUUCUUUUUUUCUUUAUGUAUUGAAAUCAUUAUUUAGUGAUAAAAAUAUGACAUUGGUUGUAAUACAGUAUUAUGUUCAUAUAAAUACAUAUACAUAUAUAUAAUCAAGUUUUUAAAUGUUAUUUUAUCCUUUUGGUUAUUAUGACUAAUUUUAACUGAUCCCUUGAAUGACAUAAAAAACUGUCUACUGUAUAUAAAAUAAUUUCGUUAUAAUAUGCCAUUAUGAAAUAUAUUUAAAAUUAUCGUUUUUCAAUAUAUAAUACAGUAUAAUGUAUAUUAUUAAAUACAGUUAUAAUUGUAGGCAUUUUUUUAGGUAUUAUUGUUGGUAUUUUGUUAUUUAAUUUAUUAUUUGUCACAAUGUCAGAUAACACUUGCAGUUGUUGCACUACUUUGUGCUUUUUGUGAUGGUUUAUUUUAUUCUGUGUGUGUACCUCAUGGUGUGAGUGUAUCCCAGCAGUGUACAGCAUCAAGAUCAGCCACGCACCAACAUUGAAAUUGAAAGUAUGCCUACUCAUCCUUACAAAGAUAUUUAAAACAUUUGGUUUAUUAAUAUAAACUAUUUAAUAUUUAUCAGUACUUAAUACAUUUUAAUUAUAGGAACAUAUGAGGAAGCUAGAAAUAAAUUACCACAAUAUGAUGACAAUGAUGAUGCUGAAAAGUUUAAUAUUGACAACCGGGGUUGUGGAAAGUGUAAGAAGAAACUAAGUACUGCGGAAAUAAGUAAAAAUUUAAGGGUAAUACAAUUUUUUCAACUUAUUAAGGUUUUCUAGUUAUCAAAUGAUUUAAGAGAAAAAUUUUAAAAUGUGUGUAUGUAUUAUAUUCAAAUUGUUAUUAUGAAUAUUAUUUACUAUCAAAUAAAAAAUAAUAAAUACAAUAAAUGUGUCAUGGGACACGCAAGUCUAUUAGACAAAUGAUUAUAAAAAUUAUCCCUCUAUAUUUGGACCAUAGAAUUUUUGAGUUAUUUAAAGUUUUUCUUUUGAGUAAUUAAGGUUUUCACAAGGGAACAAAAUUUAUUUUGACUUAAUGAAAAUCCACUGUACUUGGAAAAUUAAUUCAAAUUGAGAAUCAAAUAGUCAUUCACCAUCAAUGCUAUCCAUGCCAGAUCCUAUUUGGAUAAAAUCCCUUGGUGUGGAUUUUUUGAGGGUGAAGGGGAAAAGUGCUAGAUUAUUUAUUAUUUAUUUUAAUUUAUGUUUAAAUAAAAUAUGUUUUUUAUUAGAUCAUUCUUAUAGAACAAACAAAACUUUCUAUUAGUAACAAAACUCCAGUUUCACUAAAACAAAUAAGAAAUAUUAAAUUAUUCACCCUAGUCUCAGAAUUAAAAAUCAUUAGUUAGUCUUACAACUCCAGUUAGUCUUUCAAUUCCAGUGUCCAGAUUAAAACUCACUUCAAUAUUUGCCACUCAAAUUCCACUUGGAUAUAAUGGAUAUAAUAACAUUUUGAGUUUGACACAAAUUAAUUUAUUAGUCCAAGGUAAAUUAUUUAUGUUAUAUUUUCUUAGGAACCAUAAAUGUCAUACUUUAUAAGUAUAUGUAAAAUAUUUAUAUUUUAUUUUGUAUGUAGUGAAUAGUAUCAACCUUUAUCAGCUGUGGACUUGUCUUAUACUACAAUACAUUUAUUAAUUUAUUACAACAAGGCCAACACCAUGUAACUAAUAAAAUAUUAACAAAAUUAAUCAUGAGCAAUGGUGAUUCUAAACCCCAAUCAAUAAUCAGACAAAAAUAUUCUGAACAUUUCAUUUUAACAGGUAAAUCUGUUGCUGAGGUGUGGUAUAUUUUUUUUUUAUACUAAAUUGUCUGAAAACUUAAUAAAAU